CCUUCGAUAGCUCAGUUGGUAGAGCGGUUGACUGUAGAGUUAUAUAGUAACCAUAAACCUUAAGUGUCAAACUGAGUCUGGUACAUAUGUAAAAUUUCCAUAUUUGUUGCAAUUUGAGGCUCUAUUGAAUGA